rnacentral:rRNA from 1 species
CAGUAGCCACGGUAAAACGUAGGGUGCAAGCGUUAAUCGGAAUUACUGGGCGUAAAGCGUGCGCAGGCGGUUAUAUAAGUCAGAUGUGAAAUCCCCGGGCUCAACCUGGGAACUGCAUUUGAGACUGUAUGGCUAGAGUGUGUCAGAGGGGGGUAGAAUUCCACGUGUAGCAGUGAAAUGCGUAGAUAUGUGGAGGAAUACCGAUGGCGAAGGCAGCCCCCUGGGAUAACGCUGACGCUCAUGCACGAAAGCGUGGGGAGCAAACAGGAUUAGAUACCCCAGUAGUCCCUGUCUCUUAUCC